GAUGAAGAACGUAGCGAAAUGCGAUAAGUAAUGUGAAUUGCAGAAUUCAGUGAAUCAUCGAAUCUUUGAACGCACAUUGCGCCCCCCGGCAUUCCGGGGGGCAUGCCUGUUCGAGCGUCAUUGCUGCCCUCAAGCACGGCUUGUGUGUUGGGCCUCCGUCCUCCUCCCGGGGGACGGGCCCGAAAGGCAGCGGCGGCACCGCGUCCGGUCCUCGAGCGUAUGGGGCUUCGUCACCCGCUCUUGUAGGCCCGGCCGGCGCUUGCCGACACAUCAAUCUUUUUUCCAGGUUGACCUCGGAUCAGGUAGGGAUACCCGCUGAACUUAAGCAUAUCAAUAAGCGGAGGA
rnacentral:misc_RNA from 1 species